CGCGUCUUCUUUCGGAUGCUGGCAAUCGGACGAGUCCCUCCGCUUGCCAGCCCCGUCUCAGCCCCCAGGAAAUGGAGUAAGGGCAGAAAUUACGAGAGAGAGCGACUCCCUCCUCAGGGAAGAAACAUUAGAAGUGCGAACGCGUUUCCUCCGCCAUCAGCUUCUGCGUCCCCCUCUCCAGGCUGGCGUUGUGGCAUGUGGGAUGCUGCCUCAGCGUGGCCUGACGAGCGGUGCCAUGUCCACACCCAGGAUCCAAACCAGUGAAACCCUGGGCCACCGAAGCAGAGCGCACAAAUCAUUCGGCCACGGGCCCGGCCCCUGGAACCCUGUUUUGCCUCCUGUCAAGAGCUUGUUGAGGAUUUUAGGCGCCUACUGAGUCAGGACACAUUUGGAAACUUUGGCUGUAAAACCAAGGCUUUGACUGGAAUGUCAUAUUUGAGAGAAACAUACAGACUCAGAUAGGACAAGACAGCUUUUGAGGAAUAAAGGUUGACUUCCUGGAAUGAAGCCACUUGGAAGUAUUGGCCUGGUACCCUGUUUACAAGGAUUCCAGUAACCUGAAAACACUCCUUAUUAACUACCUGGUUACUUGCUAACACAAUAUAGGCUGAACUUUGGGAGCCCACCUGCAUCACCAUCUUACUAAGAGACUGGUUCAAUGAGAUGGAAACAACCUAUGCCCCUGAUCAGCAGGAUAAUCUCUCAAGAUUGAAGAUGAACAACAAAAGGGGGGAUUGAUACCAGUCAACACAAGGUUGACAUAAGGGAAGCCAUAUUGUAAAAAAGAAACCACAUUGUAACCUUGAAUGACCUCUGAUUAACUAACCCAGACAUGCUUUGUAGAUUUAAUGGACCCUCCCAGCUGCUAUGAGUUGGUAACUUUGUUCUUCUGAGUUCCUUAGGAAUGUGAUGACCCUCAGGAAGAGAGUCUGUGCUGAUGGCCAUCAUCAAUGACAACGGAAAGAUCAGCGUAUAGGCCAUUGCUCUGGUCUCUGAUGCAUAUCCAGUAAAACAAAAGACUAUCAGGACCUGAGACCAGAUGUCUGCCCCACCCAGAGACCAGAUGGAGCCCCCACUGGGAUUAGGUCUAUUUUUCAGGGAUUGUUAAAAUUUGGGUUGUCUAUACUUCUUAUCCUUCUGGUUGGACACAUGAUUAUAAAAUGUGCUUUUCAGAUGUUUUAGAUGUGGAACAAGAUACAAAAUUCUCAUAAUACAAAAACAUCAACAUGAAGCUGGAAACGAGAGUAUUUCCAAAUAAGUGCUAAACAGUUUCAUUUCUUUAGCCCGGAUCUAGGCCCCAAUUCAGCAGGAAGCAGCUAGAUUGGUUGUUGCCCCAAAUCCCUCAAAAAUGAGGAAUGACUAAAGAAUAGCAGAGAUUGAAACCAGCAAACAGCCAUUGAUGAUCAGGUAGCUAGGCACUAAAGUUUUUUCCUUUUGCAGUUACUGAUUAUAGCUUUUAGCUGUUUAACCCACCCACCCACUGUCAACUGUGCUGUUUAGGCAAUAUGUUCUCUGACUCUCGCUAGGCUCCUAUAGAUAGCAUCUCCCUGGAGCCUGGGUCUCCAUGGUAAUGGGUGUGUGAGGUGUUCUUCAGGAAUUAGAACUCCUUGUCCACUCCAGGCCAAUUGAGACCACCAACCCAACUGGGCCCAUUCAGCAGUCUGAGAGGCGACUUUUUGACACCAAGAGGCUAAAAACACCACCCUCAGAUCAUGCUAAUGCUGCCAUUUUGUGAACACGGGUCCUAUGAAGAGGUGUGGAGUCUGACUAUGCUUGCGCAGAUCA
ensembl:lncRNA